rnacentral:rRNA from 1 species
UACGUAGGGGGCAAGCGUUGUCCGGAUUUAUUGGGCGUAAAGAGCUCGUAGGCGGUUUGUCGCGUCUGCUGUGAAAACUCGGGGCUUAACUCCGGGCCUGCAGUGGGUACGGGCAGACUAGAGUGCGGUAGGGGAGAGUGGAAUUCCUGGUGUAGCGGUGAAAUGCGCAGAUAUCAGGAAGAACACCAGUGGCUAAGGCGGCUCUCUAGUACGGUACUGACGCUGAGACGCGAAAGCGUGGGGAGCAAACAGG